rnacentral:misc_RNA from 1 species
GAUGAAGAACGCAGCGAAAUGCGAUAAGUAAUGUGAAUUGCAGAAUUCAGUGAAUCAUCGAAUCUUUGAACGCACAUUGCGCCCGCUAGUAUUCUGGCGGGCAUGCCUGUCCGAGCGUCAUUUCAACCCUCAAGCCCCCGGGCUUGGUGUUGGGGAUCGGCCAGCCUCCGCGCCCGCCGUCCCCUAAAUCUAGUGGCGGUCUCGCUGUAGCUUCCUCUGCGUAGUAGCACACCUCGCACUGGGAAACAGCGCGGCCACGCCGUUAAACCCCCAACUUCUGAACGUUUGACCUCGGAUCAGGUAGGAAUACCCGCUGAACUUAAGCAUAUCAAUAAGCGGAGGA